UGUAAAUACGAAAAUAUACAGAGAAAAUUAGCAUGGCCCCUGUGCAAGGAUGAUUUGCAAAUUUCUUCAGUGUUCCAUAAUUUU
rnacentral:snRNA from 1 species